AAAAACAAUUAAACAAUAAGUUUAUCUUAACGGAGUCAGAUUAUAUAUUUUUCAAGGACCAAAACUGUUCCAGAAUAAGGGUGAAAUCUUCACAAAGCAGGUGAGAAAAUGUCAUUUAAAAAUAGACAAGUCAGAGUAUUGGGCUCACCAGAAUAGUGAAAACCUUUAAUCCAACAGAGUUCCAAGAGUAAGAUUGUGACCAUUUCUCUACACCAAAUCGUGGCAGCAAGCAUCAAGGAAUCAACACUUAAGAUGGGGUUGAAAAUCACACUUUGUCUUUCUAUUUUAUGUACAGAGUCUGCAUUGAAUUUCAGUAAUAAAAGACAAUACUGUAACUUUGUGGUCUUUGACUAUCAGGAAGAUCCUGAAAUCAUUGAAACAGAGUAAGAGGGAGACAUGGGGAGAGUUGCAAAAGGGAGCACAUAAUUAGUAGCACUUCUGUGGUGUCUCUUAGCUGCUAAAAUCCAUUGGCCUGGGUGCAUGGCCGCUGGUAGAUCUCAGGGAGGAUCUUGACUCUGGAUUGGCUCACAGAAGUUAGGAAAGUCAUAGCAAAUGGUGUUUCCACUCAUGGCAGGGGAGCAAUGUAAGACAAAUCAUUGGCAUUUAUUUGCAGGUACAGGAUGCUGCAGUUGGGAAUGCAUAAAGCCUGGAAGAUUUGAGCAGCAUGGCAGAGUGGCUGAAGAAGGAAUCCAACAGUCCUCUUAACACCAGUUUUGUCUGGAGUGCUAAUUCCAUUAGUUUGUCACUCUCUCGUCCCUGGGUUAUUAUAAUGUGCUUUGCAGGUAGAAUAAGCCAGAGAUUGUCUGCUUUGUAAAGCCUCCACAAGUGAUCUGAGGUAUGUUAGUUUAAUUCACUAUUCACUGUGAUAUGUUAUAGACAAUCCAGCCAAAUCAGUUUAAUGUCACAACUUUUAAUAUCACGUUCCUCAUAAUACACAGAUGUUUGUUUGUCCUGGGAAGCUUCCAUAGGAAAUAAAAAGGGUCAAAAUUGAAUGUUGUAAAGAAUGUAAUGUUACAAAUAGUUCAAGUCAACACGUUUAUUUGCCUUAUGGUAGCAAUCCUCUGGUUAAAGUCACAACGUUAUUGACUGUGUAUUUUUUGUCAGCCCUAUUCAUUAAAAGAUGCCAUGCAGUCAUCAUCAAUCUCACUCUUCACAUAGUAUGUCAUGAACAGAAGUAUCUGAUGCUGCAUUCACAUGCUAAUGGAAUUUAAGAAGCUCUGACUUUUGCUGUCUUAGCUUCCCACUUCAGUGUGUUCACAUGAAUUUCCAAAUGGAUUUUUGGGAGUAAUGCAAAGACACCGUUGAUUUGUUACUUGGUCUGCAGAACACAGCAAUUAAAGAUGAACUCUAAUUUUAGUGAAAAUAAAGAAAAAGUGAAACUACUAAA